rnacentral:rRNA from 1 species
GUACACGCUGUGACUAGCAUAUCAAUAAGCGGAGGAAAAGAAACUAACAAGGAUUCCCUCAGUAACGGCGAGUGAAGCGGGAAGAGCUCAAAUUUGAAAUCUUGAAAGGUCACCUUUCACGAAUUGUAGUUUAAAGAAGUGUUUUCUGUUACGAUCGUAAUAUAAGUUCUUUGGAAUAGGACAUCACAGAGGGUGAGAAUCCCGUAUGAUUGACCGAUUAUUUGUCAGCUUUGUGAUACACUUUCAAAGAGUCGGGAUUGUUUGGGAAUGCAGUCCCAAAAUGGGUAGGUAAAUUUCAUCUAAGGCUAAAUACUGGCGAGAGACCGAUAGCGAACAAGUACCGUGAGGGAAAGAUGAAAAGAACUUUGAAAAGAGAGUUAAAUAGUACGUGAAAUUGUCAAAAGGGAAGCGUUUGACACCAGUGUUGUUUUCUCGAAAAUCAAUUAAAAAUGGCUCGAUUUUGUAUUGCUUGAGACCUUAAAAGCUCACUGUACAUUUUUCGUGUCUUUUUUAAUGCACUUUUCGUUUAACAAGUCAACAUCAGUUUCUUUUGUUGUAAAAGGGUCAUUGGAAGGUGGCUUUCUUUUCGGAGAAAGUGUUUAUAGCCUUUGGCCUCUGCAAUCGGAGAGACUGAGGUCUGCAGCGUAGACUCUUCGGGGUUAGAUACAUUUGUGCUAAGUUAUAGCUUUUUAUAGACAACUUGUUGACUAUAAUUAGUCUUGUAGCUUACUCGCUUAUGCUAUUUUACCUACGCUUAGGAUGUUGAGUAGCGACAUACGCAC